rnacentral:rRNA from 1 species
GAUGAACGCUGGCGGCGUGCCUAAUACAUGCAAGUCGAGCGAACGGACGAGAAGCUUGCUUCUCUGAUGUUAGCGGCGGACGGGUGAGUAACACGUGGAUAACCUACCUAUAAGACUGGGAUAACUUCGGGAAACCGGAGCUAAUACCGGAUGAUAUUUUGAACCGCAUGGUUCAAAAGUGAAAGACGGUCUUGCUGUCACUUAUAGAUGGAUCCGCGCUGCAUUAGCUAGUUGGUAAGGUAACGGAUUACCAAGGCAACGAUGCAUAGCCGACCUGAGAGGGUGAUCGGCCACACUGGAACUGAGGCACGGUCCAGACUCCUACGGGAGGCAGCAGUAGGGAAUCUUCCGCAAUGGGCGAAAGCCUGACGGAGCAACGCCGCGUGAGUGAUGAAGGUCUUCGGAUCGUAAAACUCUGUUAUUAGGGAAGAACAUAUGUGUAAGUAACUGUGCACAUCUUGACGGUACCUAAUCAGAAAGCCACGGCUAACUACGUG